AAGUCGUAACAAGGUUUCCGUAGGUGAACCUGCGGAAGGAUCAUUAUUGAAUAAACUUGGUUAGGUUGCUGCUGGUCUUUAGGGACAUGUGCACACCUGAUUCAAUUUUAACCACCUGUGCACCUUUUGUAGACUUGGAUAUUUGUCUGAGGAAACUCAGUAUGAGGAUUGCUGUGCGAAAGUCAGCUUUUCUUGCAUUCCUAGUCUAUGUUUUAUAUACCCCAAUAAGCAAGUAAUAGAAUGUAAUUAAUAGGCCUUUUGUGCCUUUAAAGCAAAUAUAACUUUCAACAACGGAUCUCU
rnacentral:misc_RNA from 1 species